UACGGUGUCACGCAUUAUGUACCUGUGAGGGACAACAAACACAAUGAACCAUGGAAACAAUUUCGUUGCGCCCAGGUUGCCUUUACAUGAGUAUGCAAUGGUGCACCAUGUUGUCACGAACGAUAAUAACAAGCUUGCCACUUGUGCAAAUCUACUCAAAAACCAUUGUCACAUGCGCAACAAGCAUAAACACAGGCAAAACCCUAUUGGCAUCAUCUUCUACCUAACGACACCGCUGCAACACCACACUGCGACGCGCCGCGAUUGCGUCUCCGCUGACGGCUCUAUACAGAUAGGUUGCAAGUAAAGGAUUUGUGCUACCUAGGUUCAGAGUGGAUACUUACUUACUCGUACCCGUUUCAUCCCGUUGACAUCCUUAGUGGAUAUAAGAAUCUGAUCUGCAACAAGAAUAAAAAGGGAUGGUUCCUAGUCAAGAACACCUAGUGUCGCAUAUGUUGUUUCCUUUUCAUCUCGUUUGAUAAAAAUUGAUUUUUCUUUUCUAAACUAUAGGCAUCCUUCGUAAGUAGUUGUGCUCAAAAGGUGAAAAUUCAAGGCAUCCUUCGUAAGUAGUUGUACUUUCAAAUUAUAGUAGAGUCAGUUCUCUUAGAAGGAAAUUUGUUCAUAUAUACACAAGGCUUAUUUAAAGGGAAUUAAGAAUGUAUUAUUUGAACCGACCACUUGGUGAUUAUUAUUGUUAUAUGUAACAAAGUUCGUGAUUUUGAAUUGUAACUUUCAUUCAAGCUGUAGUUUUGGAGUUUGCAUGAAUGAUACGAGUCUUAGGAUUGUUACUUGCUA